CUCAUUUUAAAUAUUAAAAAACAAAUUGAAUCAAUCAGCUUCCUUUCUUUUUGUUCUUCACUCCCAAAUAACAAACCCUAAUUCCAUUCUCCACUUCGUAGCAUUUUUCCCUACCCUGAGCUUGCCUUCUUCGAAUCUUCCAUCCCAACUCGAAAAAAAUUUGAAUCAGUCAGAGAGCUUACUUUCUCUCCCAAUAACAAAUCCGAACUCCACAUCGUAAAAAUCUUCCCCUACCCUGUUCUUGGCUUCUUCGAAUCAUCCAUCCAACUCCACAUCGUAGUAGGCUUCCUAUUAUUCUCUCUUCCACAUCAUCUCCUCCACCUCGCCGGAAAUAAUGUCACGACGGAUGAAUAUUUGGCCACAACCCAAAGCCUCAGUGAUAGCUGCUGCAUUGAUAGAUGAUGCUAAUGACAUCCUUAGGGCUCGAGCACAGACUGAUUCCCCUGAUGAGCCAGUUUUCUGUUGGGGACCUCCAUAUAAUGUCCCUGUCAUUGGGACUGCAUGAAUCGUGUAUUGGCUUUCUUCCUCAACUCUUCAACCUCACCUUCUACUUGAAAAUGAAGUCUUUCUGUCUAUGUGUUUCUCACAAAUGUAUAACUUAAGUCUAUGUAUUGGUUUGUGAAUACAUGUCUGAAACAUUUUCCUUUUUUCUUUCUUUUUUGUUUGUCAGGAGUUUCCUUUAAUACUUAAUCGUGUAUAAGUCACCACUUUUUACACGUAAAAGAAAUUGAUUGUUAGAUGA